UAUUAUUACUCUGUGUGUGUGUGUGUGCAUGAUGUAUGUGGGGACACACAGCCAGAGCAUACGUGUGCACCUAUA
rnacentral:miRNA from 1 species